GACGUAGGAGGCGAGCGUUAUCCGGAUUCACUGGGCGUAAAGCGCAUGUAGGCGGCUCGGCAAGUCGUGUGUGUAAGCCCCUGGCUCAACUGGGGGAGGUCAUGCGAGACUGGCGGGCUUGAGGACAGCAGAGGAGCGUGGAGCUCCCGGUGUAGCGGUGGAAUGCGUAGAGAUCGGGAAGAACACCAGUGGCGAAGGCGGCGCUCUGGGCUGUGUCUGACGCUGAGAUGCGAAAGUGUGGGGAGCAAACGGG
rnacentral:rRNA from 1 species